rnacentral:tRNA from 1 species
UUAGAAUUAGUACUUAAGCUUCUAACUUGAGUGAGGGGAUGAGCGUCUCCAUUCUAUU